GAUAAACGCUAGCGGCAGGCCUAAUACAUGCAAGUCGAGGGGUAAUUCCGAUUUAUCGGGAACGACCGGCGAACGGGUGCGUAACGCGUAUGCAACUUACCUAUAGCAGUGGGAUAGCCCAUGGAAACGUGGAUUAAUACCGCAUAACGAUUACUGAUCACCUGAUCAAAAAUCAAAAGCUUUUGUGGCUAUAGAUAGGCAUGCGUCUGAUUAGCUAGUUGGUGAGGUAAAGGCUCACCAAGGCGACGAUCAGUAGCGGGUCUGAGAGGAUGAUCCGCCACACUGGGACUGAGACACGGCCCAGACUCCUACGGGAGGCAGCAGUAGGGAAUAUUGGUCAAUGGGGGGAACCCUGGAACCAGCCAUGCCGCGUGCAGGAAGACGGCCUUACGGGUUGUAACUGCUUUUAACAGGGAAAAAAGUUCCGAAUGCGUCGGAGACGUGCCAUUACCUGAA
rnacentral:rRNA from 1 species